rnacentral:rRNA from 1 species
UACGGGGGGCGGAAGCGUUGUUCGGUGAAUUACUGGGCGUAAAGGGCUCGUAGGCGGCCAACUAAGUCGGAUGUGAAAUCCCCAGGCUUAACCUGGGAACUGCAUCCGAUACUGGAUGGCUUGAAUCCGGGAGAGGGAUGCAGAAUUCCAGGUGUAGCGGUGAAAUGCGUAGAUAUUGGGAGGAACACCAGUGGCGAAGGCGGCUCACUGGACCGGUACUGACGCUGAGGCGCGAAAGCGUGGGGAGCAAACGGG